rnacentral:rRNA from 1 species
GCCUACGGGGCGCAGCAGUGAGGAAUAUUGGUCAAUGGGCUUACGCCUGAACCAGCCAAGUCGUGUGAGGGAAGACUGCCCUAUGGGUUGUAAACCUCUUUUGUCAGGGAGCAACGCCGGCUACGUGUAGCCGGACUGAGAGUACCUGAAGAAAAAGCAUCGGCUAACUCCGUGCCAGCAGCCGCGGUAAUACGUAGGAUGCGAGCGUUAUCCUGAUUUAUUGGGUUUAAAGGGUGCGUAGGCGGAAUGCCAAGUCAGCGGUAAAAUCGCGGGGCUCAACCUCGCUCCGCCUUUGAAACUUGCGU